GUUUGCAGACAGACAGUAGUGAGUUAUUUCAAAGUUACAGAUGGAAGCUCUUGUUCUGUUCUUCCUCCCUCUUACUACUGCACUUGACUAGUCUUAA
rfam:Otolemur garnettii contig140312, whole genome shotgun sequence.